AUGUCACCCUUACUCACCAUGGACAGCUCCUCCAUCACUUCUUCAAGGAAGGUAGCUAAUUCAGGAAGAAAAAGAAUCUACAGAGUUGCGUGCUGAAGAAAUUGAAAAUAGAGUGGCUAGUGUGAGCCUCGAAGGCCUGAAUUUGGCGAGGGUCCACCCAGGUACCUCCAUUACUGCCUCUGUUACAGCUUCAUCGCUGGCCAGUUCAUCUCCCCCCAGUGGACACUCAACUCCAAAGCUCACCCCUCGAAGCCCUGCCAGGGAAAUGGAUCGGAUGGGAGUCAUGACACUGCCAAGUGAUCUAAGGAAACAUCGGAGAAAGAUUGCAGUUGUGGAAGAAGAUGGUCGAGAGGACAAAGCAACAAUUAAAUGUGAAACUUCUCCUCCUCCUACCCCUAGAGCCCUCAGAAUGACUCACACUCUCCCUUCUUCCUACCACAAUGAUGCUCGAAGUAGUUUAUCUGUCUCUCUUGAGCCAGAAAGCCUUGGGCUUGGUAGUGCCAACAGCAGCCAAGACUCUCUUCACAAAGCCCCCAAGAAGAAAGGAAUAAAGUCUUCAAUAGGACGUUUGUUUGGUA
rnacentral:sRNA from 1 species